CCCCACCUCGCCGCUCAGGCUGUGAUGGAAAGGUCCCUGGGAGUGGGGAGGAGGGCAAUUUGAAACCCGGAGGGGAUCCUGUAGCCCAGUUCUCCUCGGUUCCCUAAACCUCCAGGAAAGCGGAGAAAGUCACAUUGUGGUGGCAGCAGCGGGUUUGUUUUUUUUAAUCUGUUAAUAAAACGCAAGUGAAUCAAAUCCGCCCUAAGGGAAGGGGGGGGCGCGGCGAGGCAGAGGCCAUGGUGUUUGCAGAAGUUGGAAAUUUAAUAAGAAGGAAAAAUAAAAAUAGCCACUGUGCUGGAGAGAGAGAGAGAGAGAAGGUUGGGAGAAGCAGGCAAGUGUGGGACUCCUGGCUGGGUGGAAACGUGCAGAGGGGGCUGGGGAAGGCGAGGGCACCACUAGUCCGGAGGAGCAAGGGAGACACUGCUGGGGAUACCAGGAGGGGAGUCUUUGGGGUGUCACCAGAACAGUCCAGUUCCUUGGCAGAUUUUUCACCAGCAGUGAGCUGGGCACAGAGGUUGGGGUUUGGUCCUCUAAACACCUGGGUGUAGAGGUCCAGCCUCUGGUUACUUGGUCUUCACAGCGCCCCCCACCUUCUGAGCUACUCAAGAGAUGGGGGACAGUAGCAGUACUGCCAAGAACAGUUGUGCAAGUUGCGCACUGCACAAGCAUACCAGACAGAGAGGCUAGAGCAGAAGCUAACAUCAUCUGUUCCCCUCACCACACAUUGCAUCUGCCCAGAGGAAGAGGUGCCGUGCUGGGCAGUGAAUGAAUGAACCUUGCCCUGGGGUUAACACUCCAGUGGGAUGAACAGACAAACCCCACAAGCACUGCAUACGAGCUAUCAGCUUCCCAGUUUGCACAAUUCAUCAAGAAAUAAUGCGGGGCCACUGGCACAAAUGAUGAGGCAUCUCCCGGAAGCUUAACUUCCUAUCCAUCCCAUUUCUUGGACAGACGAUGCCAGUUAAUUACUUUGAAUGUAAGUAUUUUAUCCAAAAGCACUUAUGUGUCUAAACAAACUCCUACAAAUCAACACAAAAAUGGUACAUAAUUCAACAGAAAAAUGGGCAUAAGCUUUUCUUUAUCGAUAAAUAAGUAGAAAGAAACCCUAUCCCAGGUAACACCAAAGCUUUGCCCUCUGUUGAAACAUCCUAGGCUUCUUCUUUCCACUCUUAUUACAACUGAUCUGAUUUAGCCCCUUCACACUUUACUCCUACAUUUUGCUAGACCUUUCUAUUUUGUCUCCCUGAAAUAAGCUUUUCCUUUUGGGCACU